AUGAACGCUGGCGGCGUGCCUAAUACAUGCCAGUCGAGCGAACAGAUAAGGAGCUUGCUCCUUUGACGUUAGCGGCGGACGGGUGAGUAACACGUGGGUAACCUACCUAUAAGACUGGGAUAACUUCGGGAAACCGGAGCUAAUACCGGAUAACAUUUGGAACCGCAUGGUUCUAAAGUGAAAGAUGGUUUUGCUAUCACUUAUAGAUGGACCCGCGCCGUAUUAGCUAGUUGGUAAGGUAACGGCUUACCAAGGCGACGAUACGUAGCCGACCUGAGAGGGUGAUCGGCCACACUGGAACUGAGACAAGGUCCAGACUCCUACGGGAGGCAGCAGUAGGGAAUCUUCCGCAAUGGGCGAAAGCCUGACGGAGCAACGCCGCGUGAGUGAUGAAGGGUUUCGGAUCGUAAAACUCUGUUAUUAGGGAAGAACAAACGUGUAAGUAACUGUGCACGUCUUGACGGUACCUAAUCAGAAAGCCACGGCUAACUACGUG
rnacentral:rRNA from 1 species